AAAUUACUCCCUCCGUCCCAAAAUUCUUGUCUUAGAUUUGUCUAGAUAAGGAUGUAUCAAGUCACAUUUUAGUAUUAGAUACAUCCGUAUCUAGACAAAUCUAAGACAAGAAAUUUGGGACAGAGGGAGUAGUUG
rnacentral:pre_miRNA from 1 species